UACAGGCUUAACACAUGCAAGUCGAGGGGCAGCAGGAUCUAGCAAUAGAUUGCUGGCGACCGGCGCACGGGUGAGUAACACGUAUCCAACCUGCCGAUAACUCGGGGAUAGCCUUUCGAAAGAAAGAUUAAUACCCGAUAGUAUAAUCAGACCGCAUGGUUUGAUUAUUAAAGAAUUUCGGUUAUCGAUGGGGAUGCGUUCCAUUAGGCAGUUGGUGAGGUAACGGCUCACCAAACCUUCGAUGGAUAGGGGUUCUGAGAGGAAGGUCCCCCACAUUGGAACUGAGACACGGUCCAAACUCCUACGGGAGGCAGCAGUGAGGAAUAUUGGUCAAUGGACGCGAGUCUGAACCAGCCAAGUAGCGUGAAGGAUGACUGCCCUAUGGGUUGUAAACUUCUUUUAUAUGGGAAUGAAGUUUUCCACGUGUGGAAUUUUGUAUGUACCAUAUGAAUAAGGAUCGGCUAACUCCGUGCCAGCAGCCGCGGUAAUACGGAGGAUCCGAGCGUUAUCCGGAUUUAUUGGGUUUAAAGGGAGCGUAGGUGGACAGUUAAGUCAGUUGUGAAAGUUUGCGGCUCAACCGUAAAAUUGCAGUUGAUACUGGCUGUCUUGAGUACAGUAGAGGUGGGCGGAAUUCGUGGUGUAGCGGUGAAAUGCUUAGAUAUCACGAAGAACUCUGAUUGCGAAGGCAGCUCACUGGACUGCAACUGACACUGAUGCUCGAAAGUGUGGGUAUCAAACAGGAUUAGAUACCCUGGUAGUCCACACAGUAAACGAUGAAUACUCGCUGUUUGCGAUAUACAGUAAGCGGCCAAGCGAAAGCAUUAAGUAUUCCACCUGGGGAGUACGCCGGCAACGGUGAAACUCAAAGGAAUUGACGGGGGCCCGCACAAGCGGAGGAACAUGUGGUUUAAUUCGAUGAUACGCGAGGAACCUUACCCGGGCUUAAAUUGCAUUUGAAUAUAUUGGAAACAGUAUAGCCGUAAGGCAAAUGUGAAGGUGCUGCAUGGUUGUCGUCAGCUCGUGCCGUGAGGUGUCGGCUUAAGUGCCAUAACGAGCGCAACCCUUAUCUUUAGUUACUAACAGGUCAUGCUGAGGACUCUAGAGAGACUGCCGUCGUAAGAUGUGAGGAAGGUGGGGAUGACGUCAAAUCAGCACGGCCCUUACGUCCGGGGCUACACACGUGUUACAAUGGGGGGUACAGAAGGCAGCUACCUGGUGACAGGAUGCUAAUCCCAAAAGCCUCUCUCAGUUCGGAUCGAAGUCUGCAACCCGACUUCGUGAAGCUGGAUUCGCUAGUAAUCGCGCAUCCGCCAUGGCGCGGUGAAUACGUUCCCGGGCCUUGUACACACCGCCCGUCAAGCCAUGAAAGCCGGGGGUACCUGAAGUACGUAACCGCAAGGAGCGUCCUAGGGUAAAACUGGUAAUUGGGGCUAAGUCAUAA
rnacentral:rRNA from 1 species